CAGCACCUCAAGUGGUCAGGAUGGUUAUUGGGCCUAAAGCAUCCGUAGCCGGCGCUGUAAGUUUUCGGUUAAAUCUGUACGCUCAACGUACAGGCUGCCGGGAAUACUGCAGCGCUAGGGAGUGGGAGAGGUAGACGGUACUCGGUAGGAAGGGGUAAAAUCCUUUGAUCUAUUGAUGACCACCUGUGGCGAAGGCGGUCUACCAGAACACGUCCGACGGUGAGGGAUGAAAGCUGGGGGAGCAAACCGGAUUAGAGACCCCAGUAGUCC
rnacentral:rRNA from 1 species